rnacentral:rRNA from 1 species
UUGAUCAUGGCUCAGGAUGAACGCUGGCGGCGUGCUUAACACAUGCAAGUCGAACGAAGCACCCUAUUUGAUUUUCUUCGGAAAUGAGGAUUUUGUGACUGAGUGGCGGACGGGUGAGUAACGCGUGGGUAACCUGCCUCAUACAGGGGGAUAACAGUUGGAAACGACUGCUAAUACCGCAUAAGCGCACAGGAUCGCAUGAUCCGGUGUGAAAAACUCCGGUGGUAUGAGAUGGACCCGCGUCUGAUUAGCCAGUUGGCAGGGUAACGGCCUACCAAAGCGACGAUCAGUAGCCGACCUGAGAGGGUGACCGGCCACAUUGGGACUGAGACACGGCCCAAACUCCUACGGGAGGCAGCAGUGGGGAAUAUUGCACAAUGGGGGAAACCCUGAUGCAGCGACGCCGCGUGAGCGAAGAAGUAUUUCGGUAUGUAAAGCUCUAUCAGCAGGGAAGAAGAAUGACGGUACCUGACUAAGAAGCACCGGCUAAAUACGUGCCAGCAGCCGCGGUAAUACGUAUGGUGCAAGCGUUAUCCGGAUUUACUGGGUGUAAAGGGAGCGCAGGCGGUGCGGCAAGUCUGAUGUGAAAGCCCGGGGCUCAACCCCGGUACUGCAUUGGAAACUGUCGUACUAGAGUGUCGGAGGGGUAAGUGGAAUUCCUAGUGUAGCGGUGAAAUGCGUAGAUAUUAGGAGGAACACCAGUGGCGAAGGCGGCUCCCUCCCCGAUAACUGACGCUGAGGCUCGAAAGCGUGGGGAGCAAACAGGAUUAGAUACCCUGGUAGUCCACGCUGUAAACGAUGAAUACUAGGUGUCGGGGAGCAUUGCU